rnacentral:rRNA from 1 species
AUGGUUAAGUUAGAAAGGGCGCACGGUGAAUGCCUUGGCACUAGGAGCCGAUGAAGGACGGGACGAACACCGAUAUGCUUCGGGGAGCUGUAAGUAAGCUUUGAUCCGGAGAUUUCCGAA